rnacentral:rRNA from 1 species
GAUUUCUGGUACAAUGCACCUGGCCCGGGGCCGUCAAGGUUUCUGAGUGCCGGCGCGCGUUUACCAUCCUUCUAGAAAACAUUCUUGCCGUUGAUUCGGUGGGUUUGGGAUCUAGAUCAUUUACUUUGAAAAAAUUAGAGUGUUUAAAGCAGGCUUUUGCUAUGAAUACAUUAGCAUGGAAUAAUAAUCUAGGACUUCGGUUCUAUUUUGUUGGUUUCUAUAACUGAAGUAAUGAUUGAUAGGGAUAGUUGGGGGUGCUAGUAUUGGCCGGCCAGAGGUGAAAUUCUUGGAUUCGGUCAAGACUAACUUAUGCGAAAGCAUU